GAAGCAGUGUACGUCAGACUUCCAAGAAAAGCUCGCAAUGUCAUAAAUAAGAAAUGCCUGUACCAUAACCGACACAGGUGGGUAGGUAGAGUAUACUAAGGGGCGCGAGAUAACUCUCUCUAAGGAACUCGGCAAAAUGACUCCGUAACUUCGGGAGAAGGAGUGCCUUAUUUAUAAGGUUGCAAUAACAAGAUCCAAGCAACUGUUUAUCAAAAACACAGGUCUCCGCUAAGUCGUAAGACGAUGUAUGGGGGCUGACGCCUGCCCAGUGCCAGAAGGUUAAAGAAGUUGGUUAGUGUAUGCGAAGCUGAUGACUGAAGCCCUGGUGAACGGCGGCCGUAACGAUAACGGUCCUAAGGUAGCGAAAUUCCUUGUCGGGUAAGUUCCGACCCGCACGAAAGGCGUAAUGAUUUGGAUACUGUCUCGGAGAGAGGCUCGGUGAAAUAGACUUGUCUGUGAAGAUGCGGACUACCUGCACCAGGACAGAAAGACCCUAUGAAGCUUUACUGUAACUUGAAAUUGGAAUUGGACUUUGCUUGCGCAGUAUAGGUGGGAAGCGUUGAAGAUAUUCUUGCGGGAGUAUUGGAGCUAUCAGUGAGAUACCACUCUUGUAAUGUUAGAUUUCUAACUUUGAACCAUAAUCUGGUCAAAGAACAGUUUCAGGUGGGCAGUUUGACUGGGGCGGUCGCCUCCCAAAUGGUAACGGAGGCGUACAAAGGUUUCCUCUGAACGGAUAGAAAUCGUAUCUAGAGUGUAAAGGCAUAAGGAAGCUUGACUGUGAGACCUACAAGUCGAGCAGGGACGAAAGUCGGUCUUAGUGAUCUGACGGUACUGAGUGGAAAGGCCGUCACUCAACGGAUAAAAGUUACUCUAGGAUAACAGGCUGAUCUCCCCCAAGAGUUCACAUCGACGGGGAGGUUUGGCACCUCGAUGUCGGCUCAUCGCAUCCUGGGGCGGUAGUACGUCCCAAGGGUUGGGCUGUUCGCCCAUGAAAGCGGUACGCGAGCUGGGUUCAGAACGUCGUGAGACAGUUCGGUCCAUACCCGGUGUAGGCGUUAGAAUAUUGAGAGGAGCCUUCUUUAGUACGAGAGGACCGAGAAGGACACACCGCUGGUGUACCAGUUAUCGUGCCAACGGUAAACGCUGGGUAGCUAUGUGUGGAGUGGAUAACCGCUGAAAGCAUCUAAGUGGGAAGCCCACCUCAAGAUGAG
rnacentral:rRNA from 1 species